AUGAUGCAGGCGAAGCUGCUGCAGAUCAGAAAGCACCUCCAAGAAGGGAUGCGACGCCGACGACGCUGCUGCCCGGACGAGUCCUCAGGUUUCCCCGGGCACGCGGAGGGAGGUGGGGGGUGGAUACCACCGACACCCUCCAGGAAGGAAUGGUGGCACCCGCAGGUGUCACCGCGUCGAGGCCGAAGCCGGAAGGGAUUUCUCCCGCAUUCCAACCCCAACCGCCCAACCGGACGGAACCGACCUGCCAAACCGUCGCCCACCACCAUGCGCCAACGCAGUACCGCCACCACCCACGCCGCCUCACUACGAACACCACCACGAGGCCAAGAGGACCGGAGAGAAGCUCACCACGACGGGAGCAGCAACACCGACGUCGAGCGGGAGGGAACCACCUCCACCGCCGUCGUGCGGGAGGCCCGUGCCUCCGGCACCGUCGCGGUAGCCGUCCGGACGCGGCAGCGGGGCAUGCCGGGCCACCCCUGGCCCAGCCAGGCCCGAAGCGGGCCCGUUAAGCCCCGCGGGCCGCGAUGCAGCAGGCUGGCGUCGUCGUCGCCGGCACCCAGCCGCUCGUCGCAUCUCCUCCGCCUCCCAGAAGCCACGCCGGAGACCAUCUCCGCCGCCGGCCCGCCCAGGCCCAGAUGGGGCCCGAAGGGCCCCGGAUCUGGGCCGAGCGGGCGACGCCAGAUCCCGCCGCCGCGCCGCCCCGCCGCCAACGGCAGCGCCGCCGCCCAGCUGCUCGCCUGCAUGCGCCACGGAACCCCGCCGCCAUGCCAGACCACGCCAGACCAACUUGUGAGAUUUCCUGCAGAGCACACAAUCAAUGAAAUGACACUUCUAACCCACCAGGAUAUACACCACAAGAAGAACAUGGCAUUCCAAAUCCUAGUCGAGGCCUACCUCAUGGUGCUGUUUGAGGACACCAACCUCUGCGCCAUCCACGCCAAGCACUUCACCAUCAUGUCCAAGGACAUCCAGCUCGCCUGCCACAUCCGUGGUGAGAGCAUAGGCUGCAAUCCAUGCAUCGCCUUUUAG
rnacentral:rRNA from 1 species